rnacentral:rRNA from 1 species
AUUGAACGCUGGCGGAAUGCUUACACAUGCAAGUCGAGCGGCAGCACGGGGGCAACCCUGGUGGCGAGCGGCGAACGGGUGAGUAAUACAUCGGAACAUGCCCAGUCGUGGGGGAUAACACUUCGAAAGAAGUGCUAAUACCGCAUACGUCCUGAGGGAGAAAGCGGGGGAUCUUCGGACCUCGCGCGAUUGGAGUGGCCGAUGUCAGAUUAGCUAGUUGGUGGGGUAAAGGCCUACCAAGGCAACGAUCUGUAGCUGGUCUGAGAGGAUGAUCAGCCACACUGGGACUGAGACACGGCCCAGACUCCUACGGGAGGCAGCAGUGGGGAAUGUUGGACAAUGGGGGCAACCCUGAUCCAGCCAUUCCGCGUGAGUGAAGAAGGCCGUCGGGUUGUAAAGCUCUUUCGGCAGGAACGAAACGGCGAGCUCUAACAUAGCUUGCUAAUGACGGUACCUGAAGAAGAAGCACCGGCUAACUACGUGCCAGCCGCCGCCGUAACAC